rnacentral:lncRNA from 1 species
CUUCGGCGUACUUAUGCCACUCUAUCACUACCAGUAAUCACAAUAUCAUCAAUAUAUACCACUAACAAAAUACAUCUAGUUGUAGAUUGUUUAAAGAAUACCGAGUGAUCAUAUGCACUUCUUUGCAAGCCAAAUCUAUCACAACCUAACUAAAUCUUCCAAACCAGGCACGUGGUCAUUGUUUCAGACAGUACAAUUACUUUUGCAUUUUGCAUACCUUCCCUGACUCUUCCUGAUCAACGAACUCGGGUAGUUGCUCCAUGUAAACUUCUUCAAGCAAAUCACCAUGGAGGAGUGCACUUUUAGCAUCCAAUUGGUAAAACGGCCAAUGAUAGGUAGCAGAAGAGAAAUGAAAAAUCGAACAGAGGCUAGACUAGCAAUAGGAGAGAAAGUCUCAGAGUAAUCCACACCAUAAAUUUGAGCAUAUCCCUUAGCAACUAAACGAGCCUUCAACCAAGCAACAAAUCCAUUAGGAUUCAUCUUGACAGUAAACACCCAUUUGUACCCGAUUGCCUGUUUAUUGAGGGGUAAAGGAACCAAGUCUCAUGUGUGAUUGUGUUCUAGCGCCAUCAUUUCUUCUUCCACGGCUGCUCGCCAGCCACUAUGGGAUAAUGCCUCAGAGAUAGAUUUUGGUACAGACACAUGUUCCAAGGAAGUAAUGAAGGACUUGCAUACAAGAAACAAAAGAAAAGAUAAGAUAAGAACAUGACUGUUUACCUUUUCAAAGAGCAAUGAGAAAAUUAAGAGUAGGAUCGGGAGGGGAUGACGAAUCUUAAGGUGAAGCAGCAGGUAGAUGCUGCAAGUCAUGGUCAGUAGCAGGUGUCAUCAGAGAUUGCUGCACACGACGAGUGUAAACACUUCGAACAGGAGGACGAGAAGAUAUUAGUACCACAGGUGUAGUCACAGUGUAAGUAAGGAAAUCAUCCUCAGACUCAAUAGAAGAUGGAGCAGAAAGCAUAGUAGUACUGGAAAAAGGUGUGGACUCGAAAAAGGUAACAUUAGCAGACACUAACUAUCAUCCUAAAGGAGAAAAACAUCGUUAACCUUUUUUAUGUCGAGAAUAGCCCAAAAAUAUACAUUUAAGGGAUCUAGGAUCAAGCUUGGAAACUUGAGGUCUCACAUCUUGGACAAAGCAAGUACAUCGAAAUAUUUUAGGAGAAAGAGAGAAUAAAGUAUGAGAUGGAAACAGAAUGGAAUAAGGGAUCUUACCAUCUAAAACAGAGGAAGGCAUACAAUUGAUUAAAUAACAUGCAGUAGAGAUUGCAUCUGCUCAAAAAAAAUUUGAAACUUUCAUAUGAAAAUGGAGAGCUCGUGCAACUUUCAAAAAAUGACGAUUCUUUCUUUUCGCUACGCCAUUUUGUUGCGGAGUAACGAUACAUGAAAAUUGAUGAAGAAUGCCAUUUUAUGACAAACAGGAAGUAAACGUGGAGGAGAAAUAUUCUUUAGCAUUAUCACUCCUUAAGAUACGGAGAGAUUUAUCAAAUUAAGUUUUAAUCUCAGCAUAGAAGUCACAAAAAAUUGAGAAUAGUUCAGAACGAUUUUUCAUAAGAUAUAACCAAGUAACUCGAAAAUGAUCAUCUACAAAGGUAACAAAAUAGCGAAACCCGGUCUCAAAUAAAGCAGGACAAGGACCCCAAAUAUCAGAAUGUAUUAAAUCAAAAGGAGACGCAUCUCGUUUAUUUAGUCUAGGGAAAUAUGGCACCCAGCGGUGUUUUGCUAAUUGACACGACUAGGGCAUAAUUUCUUCAAAACAGGGAGGGAAGGAUGAUCGAAACGACAAUGGAGCUGCAGAAGAGAAGAAGUACUAGUGCAUGUAAUCGAC